GCAAUAUAGACCUCAGAGCAGCCCCGCCCCCCUAGAUACACUGUGCAAUGCAGAGACAGCACAUACUUCUGUAUCUUGGUUUCUAUGUAUUCCUUGUCUUUAGCGGAGAAGUGAAGCAUGGACACAGAUACUCCAGAGCUUGAGUUAGGUCACCGGCAAGAUACAGACAUGGCUGACAUCUCUAAGAAGAGCCGCCUCGAACUAGAGGACUGACUGUCAAAGAAGCUUCAAAACCAGGCCCAUACUCGACUGUAUUAAAGCACCACCUGGUAUUGUUCAGUGCACACUGAAGAGCUGAUGGUGUCCUGUCUAACAAAGGUGUUGCAAUUACGAGUGUGAUAACUAAGCUAACUGUAUAUGCAGGUGGCCCAUUAAUUUUGAUGACUCUGUCUGUGCACCCACAUACAAUGUCCUAUUAAGAGGAGUGUUAUCACUAAGAUAUCAUAUCAUUGUUUACCAGCGUACUUUGAGGGAAACCCAGGAAAAUUGUCCUCUUUGCUAUAUCUUUAGGUUGAAUUCUAUUUUGAGAGAUGCCGAUUUGCCUGAAGAUAAAUUCCUGCAUGCAGCAGAAAAUGCCUGAAGAUGCCAACGAAUGUUUGAAUGGAUGCCAAUUAGCCAAAGAUUGCCAGCAGAAGAUGACAACGAAUGCCGAGUGAGAAGAGACAGAGACACUUGAAGAAGGGGAAGAAACACUACCAUGCUGAUGAGGGGACAAGAUAAGUUAUUAUAGGAGAGGAGCCUAACUGAUAGCUUGCAUGAUGAUCUUCAAGGAAAGCUAGCGCUUUAGUGCAAGGCUAACUUGAAUAAAAACUUUGUACAAACAGAUGAUGCUCUGAAGGGACUGCAACAGCCUUCACUGUGAUUAACACGGCACUGAGGAGAGGGUGUGGUUAUGAGAGGAAGUGAGAUGACAAGUCAUGUGACAGACCGAGCGAACGUGUGCCUCCAGUUAAAAGUAAACUAAUCCACCCACGUAACAGUGACACUAAAAAAUAAUUAUAGCGUGUAUUAAUACAUACAUUCAUGCAUACUUGGUACAAUUACGU